GGCUCGUUGGUCUAGGGCAGUGCUGUCCAACUUCUGUUGUACCGAGGGCCCGGGUUCAAAUCCCGGACGAGCCC
rnacentral:tRNA from 1 species